AUUGGCGUGGCAGAGCUGGGCAAAAUGCAAAAGGCCUAAACCCUUUAUCCAGGGGUUCAACUCCCCUCCCCAAUU